CUGCAGCCUGGGAUUCCUCCUAAGCCGUGUCCCAUCUGUGCGGGACCCCACUGGAAAUCGGACGUUCAACUCACCUGGCAGCCACUCCCAGAGCCCGUGGAACUCUGGCCCAAGGCUCUCUGACUGACUCCUUCCAAGAUCUUCUCAGCUUAGCGGCUGAAGACUGACGCUGCCCAAUCGCCUCGGAAGCCCCGGAGACCAUCACGGACGCCAAGCUUUAGGUAACUCUCACAGUGGAGGGAAGUUCAAGCUGCUAGAUGGACAGGUCAAAUGAAGAAACAGAUGCCUGACCACUACUAAGCUGUAACUGAUACUGCAGUUGAGAUACAAGAUGUGAAUCUAAAAGAAAUCACCUCGGAUGUCUAGCCCUGUCCUCAAAUAAUUUCAGCUCGGCUGUCUCAUGACUACAACCAUACAAGAAACCCCAACAGCCAACAUAUGGAAACAACCUAAAUGUCUGUCGACAGGUGAAUGAAUAAAGAAAAUGUGGUAUAUACAUACAGCAGAAUAUUGUUCAGUCUUAAAAAAGAAGGAAACCUUACAAUAUGCAGCAUCAUGAAUGAACAUGGAGGACAUUAUGCUAAAUGAAAUAAGCCAGUCACAGAAGGAACAGACACUGCCUGAUUCCAAUCGUAGGAGAUAACUAGUAUUGUCAAAUUUAUAAAAUUGACAAGAGAAUGGUAGUUGCUAGUGGGUGAGCAGAGGGGAAGAUGAGGAGUUAUUGUUGAAUGUGUAUAAAGUUUUAAUUAUGCAAGAUGAGUAAGUUCUAGCGAUCUAUUGUACAACCUUGUGCCUAUAGUUAACAAUGAUGUAUUGUGGAUGUAAAAAUUUGUUAAAGAGGAUACAUCUCAUAUUGUUUUCUUACCACAGUAAAAAAAAAAAGAAACAAAUAAACAAGAAUGUAUAUAGUACUGAAAACUGUAUGUCUGAUGAUUAAAAAUUAAGAAUAUCCUCAAUACCACAUAAUUUACACAAUAGAUACAAAAGGUGUUGGCAACAAAG
rnacentral:lncRNA from 1 species